GUAACAAGGUUUCCGUAGGUGAACCUGCGGAAGGAUCAUUACUGAGUGAGGGUCCCUCGGGGCCCAACCUCCCACCCGUGUAUACCGUACCUUGUUGCUUCGGCGAGCCCGCCCCCUUCUCGUUAGGGGGGCACAGCGCUCGCCGGAGACACCAACGUGAACACUGUCUGAAGUUUUGUCGUCUGAGUCGAUUGUAUCGCAAUCAGUUAAAACUUUCAACAAUGGAUCUCUUGGUUCCGGCAUCGAUGAAGAACGCAGCGAAAUGCGAUAAUUAAUGUGAAUUGCAGAAUUCAGUGAAUCAUCGAGUCUUUGAACGCACAUUGCACCCCCUGGUAUUCCGGGGGGUAUGCCUGUCCGAGCGUCAUUGCUGCCCUCAAGCACGGCUUGUGUGUUGGGUCGUCGUCCCCCCGGGGACGGGCCCGAAAGGCAGCGGCGGCACCGCGUCCGGUCCUCGAGCGUAUGGGGCUUUGUCACACCGCUCUUGUAGGCCCGGCCGGCUGCUGGCCGACGCUGAAAAGCAACCAACUAUUUCUCCAGGUUGACCUCGGAUCAGGUAGGGAUACCCGCUGAACUUAAGCAUAUC
rnacentral:misc_RNA from 1 species